rnacentral:rRNA from 1 species
UGCCAGCCGCCGCGGUAAUACGGAGGGUGCGAGCGUUAAUCGGAAUUACUGGGCGUAAAGCGCGCGUAGGUGGUCUGUUAAGCCGGAUGUGAAAGCCCCGGGCUCAACCUGGGAACUGCAUUCGAUACUGGCAGACUAGAGUGCGAGAGAGGGAGGUAGAAUUCCAUGUGUAGCGGUGAAAUGCGUAGAUAUUAGAAAGAACACCAGCGGCGAAAGCGCUCUACUGGACCAUUACUGACACUCAGAGGCGAAAGCUAGGGUAGCAAAAGGGAUUAGAUA